rnacentral:lncRNA from 1 species
AGAGGACAUGUUAGAGCUACAUAAGGGCGAGGACUAGAUGCUUGCCAGCCCUCCCCACUCUGUGAGGAGCAAAGCUCAGUGUGGCUCCUUGUGGGGUGGGAGUUCAGACUGGUGCUGGGGUGUGGGGCCCCCCCUCCCGAUGCAUAUGAAGAGUUUUGCCUCUUUUAGCAUCUGUCUCUCCAUCUGGAAAAUGCAACAUCAACAAGGCCAGCCUUUGACUCCUACAAGGAGCCCCUUUAAUAAUCCAAGCGGACAUUCUUUCUGCUCAAAGCACAGCAUGUGUGCGGCCCCCUGAGAACCAGCCAGGCUGGACGCCUACAGAAAUUCAAGGCACCCACACCACCUGUGUGCCUGGUGAUGACUCUGGAAGGCUGAGCUCUUCUGCAGAGGAGGAAACUGAAGCUUGUGCCUGGGUCCUUCUAUGGACCCUUCCCACUCCUCUUAUGAGCCUCCAUAGUAUCACAGAACGUUCUCUGAGACGCCAUCUGGAUGUCAGGGAAGAUGACAGGUCAGAGAGCUCUCUGGACUCUCCAGCCACUUCCCUCAGCCUGCAGCGGGGCUCAGCACCACCCCACAAGGCGAACGGGGGAAGGCAGAGUGUCGAGGAGGUGGGAGCGCUGGUCCCUGCUGCCAGGAUGUGUGCCGGUGUGCUAAGAGUGACAGAACUAAUUUCCCAAACACCAUCUGAGCCGAGUGCAUGUCGAUGAGGGAGACCGUUUUUUAAAUUUUAAAUUAGAAAUUACAUUUUUUCCCUGCCAAAAUAAAGAUGCGAAAUCAAAGGAAUCUGGUUUGGAA